rnacentral:rRNA from 1 species
UACGUAGGGUGCAAGCGUUGUCCGGAAUUAUUGGGCGUAAAGAGCUCGUAGGCGGUCUGUUGCGUCCGCUGUGAAAACUCGGGGCUUAACCCCGAGCCUGCAGUGGAUACGGGCAGACUAGAGGUAGGUAGGGGAGAAUGGAAUUCCCGGUGUAGCGGUGAAAUGCGCAGAUAUCUGGAGGAACACCGGUGGCGAAGGCGGCAUCCUGGACCAAUAUUGACGCUGAGGAGCGAAAGCCAGGGGAGCAAACGGG